rnacentral:rRNA from 1 species
UAGGGAAUAUUGGACAAUGGGCGCAAGCCUGAUCCAGCAACGCCGCGUGGAUGACGAAGCAUCUUGGUGUGUAAAAUCCUGUCAGUGGGGACGAAACGCAGAGAGAGGAAAUGUUCUUUGCCUGACUGUACCCGCAGAGGAAGUUCCGGCCAACUCCGUGCCAGCAGCCGCGGUAAUACGGGGGGAACGAGCGCUGUUCGGAUUUACUGGGCGUAAAGGGCACGCAGGUGGGAAAGCAAGUCAGAUGUGAAACCCCAAAGCUUAACUUUGGGACUGCAUUUGAUGCUGUUUUUCUUGAGUACGAGAGAGGAUGGCAGAAUUCUUGGUGUAGCGGUGAAAUGCGUAGAUAUCAAGAAGAAUACCGGUGGCGAAGGCGGCCAUCUGGCUCGAUACUGACGC